rnacentral:rRNA from 1 species
GAUGAACGCUAGCUACAGGCUUAACACAUGCAAGUCGAGGGGAAACGAUAGAGAAAGCUUGCUUUUUCUAGGCGUCGACCGGCGCACGGGUGAGUAACGCGUAUCCAACCUGCCCAUCACUUGGGGAUAACCUUGCGAAAGUAAGACUAAUACCCAAUGACGUCUCUAGAAGACAUCUGAAGGAGAUUAAAGAUUUAUCGUUGAUGGAUGGGGAUGCGUCUGAUUAGCUUGUUGGCGGGGUAACUGCCCAACAGGGCGACGAUCAGUAGGGGUUCUGAGAGGAAGGUCCCCCACAUUGGAACUGAGACACGGUCCAAACUCCUACGGGAGGCAGCAGUGAGGAAUAUUGAUCAAUGGACGAGAGUCUGAACAAGCCAAGUAGCGUGCAGGAUGACGGCCCUAUGGGUUGUAAACUGCUUUUAUAAGGGAAUAAAGUGAGUCGCGUGAGACUUUUUGCAUGUACCUUAUGAAUAAGGACCGGCUAAUUCCGUGCCAGCCGCCGCGGUAA